rnacentral:rRNA from 1 species
AUUGAACGCUGGCGGCAGGCCUAACACAUGCAAGUCGAACGAGUGGCGGACGGGUGAGUAGUGUCUGGAAAACUGCCUGAGGGAGGGGGAUAACUACUGGAAACGGUAGCUAAUACAGCAUACCAUCAGAUGUGCCCAGAUGGGCUUAGCUGGUUGGUGGGGUAAGGGCACACCAAGGCGACGAUCCCUAGCUGGUCUGAGAGGUUGACCCGCCACACUGGAACUGAGACACGGGCCAGACCCCUACGGGAGGCAGCAGUGGGGAAUAUUGCACAAUGGGCGCAAGCCGGCUGCAGCUAGGCCGCGUGUAUGAAGAAGGCCUUCGGGUUGUAAAGUACUUUCAGCGGGGAGGCGUUACCCGCAGAAGAAGCACCGGCUAACUCCGUGCCAGCAGCCGCGGUAAUAC